AGCUUUGCGCAGUGGCAGUAUCAUAGCCAAUGAGGUUUAUCUGAGGUGCAAUUAUUGCUAAUUAAAAAUUCUCUUAAGAUUUAGUUGGGACUGCAUUAAAUGUAUAAAUUAAUUUGAUUGUCCUGGAUGGC
rnacentral:snRNA from 2 species